rnacentral:rRNA from 1 species
GACGAACGCUGGCGGCGUGCUUACCUUUUGCAAGUCGAGCGAUGAAGCACCUUCGGGUGUGGAUUAGCGGCGAACGGGUGAGGAACACGUGAGGAAUCUGCCUUCCACUCUGGGAUAACUCCGGGAAACCGGGGCUAAUACCGGAUACUUUCAACUGGCGGCAUCGCCGGUUGAAGAAAGUUUUUCGGUGGAAGAUGACCUCGCGGCCUAUCAGCUUGUUGGUGAGGUAAAGGCUCACCAAGGCGACAACGGGUAGCCGGCCUGAGAGGGCGACCGGCCACACUGGGACUGAGACACGGCCCAAACUCCUACGGGAGGCAGCAGUGGGGAAUAUUGGGCAAUGGAGGAAACUCUGACCCAGCGACGCCGCGUGAGGGAUGAAGGCCUUCGGGUUGUAAACCUCUUUCAGCAGGGAAUAAGCGAAAGUGAAGGUACCUGCAAAAAAAGCACCGGCUAACUAUGUG